rnacentral:rRNA from 1 species
CCCCUAGAUGUUCUGGGCCGCACGCGCGCUACACUGAACAGUUCAACAAGUCUUAACCUUGGCCGAUAGGUCUGGGUAAUCUUUGAACGCUGUUCGUGAUUGGGAUAGACCUUUGCAAUUAUGGGUCUUCAACGAGGAAUUCCUAGUAAACGCAAGUCAUCAGCUUGCAUUGAUUACGUCCCUGCCCUUUGUACACACCGCCCGUCGCACCUACCGAUUGAAUGGUCCGGUGAAGCCUCCGGAUUGCACAGGCCCCGUGUCUGGCGCGAGAAGUUGGCUAAACCUUACCAUUUAGAGGAAGGUGAAGUCGUAACA